rnacentral:rRNA from 1 species
GAGUUUGAUCAUGGUUCAGGACGAACGCUGGCGGCGUGCCUAAUACAUGCAAGUCGAGCGAGCCGGUCCGGAAGAAUCACUUCGGUGAUGAUUUCGGGGAAGCGAGCGGCGGAUGGGUGAGUAACACGUGGGUAACCUGCCCCUCAGUCUGGGAUACCACUUGGAAACAGGUGCUAAUACCGGAUAACAGCUUUUUUCGCAUGAAGAGAGCUUGAAAGGCGGCGUAAGCUGUCGCUGAAGGAUGGACCCGCGGUGCAUUAGCUAGUUGGUGAGGUAACGGCUCACCAAGGCGACGAUGCAUAGCCGAGUUGAGAGACUGAUCGGCCACAUUGGGACUGAGACACGGCCCAAACUCCUACGGGAGGCAGCAGUAGGGAAUCUUCCACAAUGGACGCAAGUCUGAUGGAGCAACGCCGCGUGAGUGAAGAAGGUCUUCGGAUCGUAAAGCUCUGUUGUUGGUGAAGAAGGACGGAGAGAGCAACUGGUCUUCGUUUGACGGUAAUCAACCAGAAAGUCACGGCUAACUACGUGCCAGCAGCCGCGGUAAUACGUAGGUGGCAAGCGUUGUCCGGAUUUAUUGGGCGUAAAGCGAGCGCAGGCGGAGAGAUAAGUCUGAUGUGAAAGCCCUCGGCUUAACCGAGGAAUUGCAU